rnacentral:tRNA from 1 species
UUACACUAUGGUGUAUUUGAACAUGUAAAAUUUUGAUUUUUAGGUUGGUAAUUUCCUAGUGUAAG